rnacentral:rRNA from 1 species
AGCGAACGUUAGCGGCGGGCCUAACACAUGCAAGUCGCACGAGAAAAGGGCUUCGGCUCCUAGUAAAGUGGCGGACGGGUGAGUAACACGUGGCUAACCUGCCCUUCAAUGGGGGAUAACCGUCCGAAAGGACGGCUAAUACCGCAUACGUCGGCGGGCCCUUCGGGGUCUGUCGGGAAAGCCGGCCUCUACAUGUAAGCUGGCGUUGAAGGAGGGGGCCGCGGCCCAUCAGCUAGUUGGUAGGGUAAUGGACUACCAAGGGGAAGACGGGUGGCGGGGCUGAGAGGAUGAGCAGCCACACGGGGACUGAGACACGGCACAGACUCCUACGGGAGGCAGCAGUGGGGAAUAUUGGGCAAUGGGCGCAAGCCUGACCCAGCCACGCCGCGUGAGUGAUGAAGGCCUUCGGGUCGUAAAGCUCUGUGGGGAGGGACGAAAGCCCGGAAGCUAAUAUCUUCCGGUUUGACGGUACUUCCUUAGCAAGCACCGGCUAACUCCGUGCCAGCAGCCGCAGUAACAC